rnacentral:rRNA from 1 species
UACGAAGGGGGCUAGCGUUGCUCGGAAUCACUGGGCGUAAAGGGUGCGUAGGCGGGUCUUUAAGUCAGGGGUGAAAUCCUGGAGCUCAACUCCAGAACUGCCUUUGAUACUGAGGAUCUUGAGUUCGGGAGAGGUGAGUGGAAUUCCCGGUGUAGCGGUGAAAUGCGCAGAUAUCGGGAGGAACACCAAUGGCGAAGGCAGCUUGCUGGGACGGUACUGACGCUGAGGCGCGAAAGCGUGGGGAGCAAACAGGAUUAAGAA